rnacentral:tRNA from 1 species
GAUUAAAUGGCUGAAGAUAGGCGAUAAAUUGUAAAUUUAUUUAUGAAUAUUUUAUUCUUUAAUCA